GAGAGUUCUAUUUUUAUCUUGGCAUUGAGUCGAGAAAGAAGCUAGCAAUGAAAAUUUUGUGGUUUCGAAGUGUAAAGAAAAACCAGUUUCAGAAGUGGGGAAAGAGAAUUGCAAGCACUGAGUCUGCGAUUACACUUGGUAAUGCAAAAGGUCGAGUAUCAUUUAGUUGUUGCUGUGGGUCGUAUGUCUUGAUCAGGCAACUUGUAUUAAAGCUCAGGACAAAAUGGAAACAAGCUUUGGGGUGGCACUGGCAAAGGAGCAGUGUUCAAUACAGCUAUGCCUAUGAUAUUUACAGCUAUUCUCUUAACUUUGAUGAUGGUCUCUACCAUGGCCAUCUCCCAUCAAAGGGUUCCCAAUGAAAGUUUGAUCUCCUUUUCAGCAAUAAGUGAUCUGGUUAUUAUCACUUGGUUCACGAGUUCAUUUGUCAUAUAAACAAAAGUUUUCUCAAGAUACUGCAG
rnacentral:misc_RNA from 1 species